ACGGAGGGUGCAAGCGUUGUUCGGAUUGACUGGGCGUAAAGCGCACGUAGGCGGAUUUUUAAGUCGAUUGUGAAAUCCCAGGGCUUAACCUUGGAACUGCAAUCGAAACUGGAAGUCUUGAAUGCUCGAGGGGUUGGUGGAAUUCCAGGUGUAGAAGUGAAAUUCGUAGAUAUCUGGAGGAACACCCGAGGCGAAGGCGGCCAACUGGUGAAGCAUUGACGCUGAGGUGCGAAAGCGUGGGUAGCAAACAGG
rnacentral:rRNA from 1 species